CUCCUUUGACGUUAGCGGCGGACGGGUGAGUAACACGUGGGUAACCUACCUAUAAGACUGGGAUAACUUCGGGAAACCGGAGCUAAUACCGGAUAAUAUUUCGAACCGCAUGGUUCGAUAGUGAAAGGUGGUUUUGCUAUCACUUAUAGAUGGACCCGCGCCGUAUUAGCUAGUUGGUAAGGUAACGGCUUACCAAGGCUACGAUACGUAGCCGACCUGAGAGGGUGAUCGGCCACACUGGAACUGAGACACGGUCCAGACUCCUACGGGAGGCAGCAGCG
rnacentral:rRNA from 1 species